GAUGAUUUAGAUCAGCUUCUACAACUCUUUUGUCACAAGAAUAAAGCUUAAUUCUAAAGUUUUAACUCAGUUCUGCUGCACUCUUUGGAACACUGGAGCUUGAGCUUUCUGAAAUUCAUGCCAUCUCAUAUGAGCCCUGUCUUUACAGUAAUCAUACAAAGUUCAUUUGGCCUAGUAUUAAAUAUUACCAUCACUGAAGAAACUCUACAUUAGUUUUACAGAAGCUAUUUUCCAUAACUGUUACCCAGCCAGAACUGCAAAGGAGCAAGCUGCCUCCCACUCUCUGAAACAUCCAGCAGUGUGUGGAGCUGAAGGAGUGACCAUGAAACCUGUUGAACAGCCAUCCAACUCAAUUUUAAUGAAUUUUGUACUACAGAGAAUGCCUUAGGUCCUCCAGUAUCAUCCAGCAUUUCAAGAAAUUCAUACUAAUCUAAGAUAAAACAAAAGAUUUAGUGUCCCAUACAUAUUUUGUUCAAGAAAAAACAAUCUUCCUUUAAACUGGAAUUGGAUAUGUCCCAUAAAUCUAACUUACAUGUUCAUUUGUGUAAAAAUUAUGAGAAAUUUACACGCCUAUGUAACAAUAAUUUUAUAGUGACCUAUGAGUGUUUUAAGACCCAUUUUCACUACUAGGAUGGUGCCAUACUUCAUAUAUACAUGUAAUGACCAAUGACUUAGAAAGAUAAUACAUGUCCAGUUUCUGGAAAUCUUCCAUUAAUUCCCAGUGUAGUACGUAUCUUAGCCAUGGAAAUAUCAGAAGCACUAGAAAUUAAAUAAAUCAUAUUUUUUGCAUGGACAGAAUUGAACAGUUUUUUCAUGGUAUAUUUUUAAAACCUUACAGAACAGGACAAGGAUGUUAUUACAGUUUUUUUCAAACAUUAUAUAAAGUUCAUUCUGAUGAUUGCAGAGCACAGAGUGUUUAGUUUAUAUUAUUAUGAAAAACCAUUUCUAAUCUUGUAGCAAAGAAGAUACAGGGGGGAAAAAAAAAGACAGAACUAGGUCAUUCUUUGCAAUGGUGCAGUGAAAUGUGACAACAUGGAGUAUGCUAACCAGUUUAGAAUCAAGAAAAAAAGGUUUGUGGCUAUUUUUACUGCACCUGGUUACAUAUGUUGUUUGAUUCAGUAUGUCUCGCAGAAAGAGGUUGUAUUUCUCAUAUUAAUAAAUGUCCAUUGUAUUUUGAAAUAUAUUCUUUAAAAUAAUGGAUUGAGCUGUUCACAGUCAUAAACAAGAUGUUUCAGUAGAUCAGUACCCAAGGUACCAGAUCUCUAUGAAAGAAUUAAUGCAAGAUGUGCAAUUAAUCUUCCUUUGUUCAAAUCAAAUUAAGAAGUAUUUAAUCAGUGGAUGCCAGAAUAUAGAUUGUCUAGGAGCUUUAAAAUGAUAUGAAUACUUAAAAAUUACAUGGAAGCAGGCAAAAAUCUUUCCUUGUGAAAUCAAAUUAACUCAAAUGGAUUAUAGAAGGGUUGAAAUGAAAUAGGUCCAGUUAUUAAUUCUCACCCCCACACAUUUGCAAAUAGAUACCAAAUCAAAUAUAUUUUUGGCAUCUGUGUUUUCUUGUGGUUUGUUAUUACUAAUUUGUCAGAAAACAGAAAAUCUUGCCCUCCAAAAAUUGUUCAGAUGACACACUUUCUGCAAAACUUAUCAACACUUUGCCUAUUUCUUUUUGGUAAAGAAAAAUGCAAGUUUUCAGUUUUUAGUAAAACCUUGCAAUUUUCCCCAGAACUAUGCAUUUCCUAAAUGAAGCUUCUUUCUUCAAAGCCAAUGACUCUGUUGUUCUACACUGUUGAUUGCACAGUUUUCAGAACUACCAAAAGGCCCAAACACUCUGCUAUGUGUUUCUGGGCUUUCUGUAGGUUCAAGAGGUACAACAUUACAGCUCUGCAGAACCUGUUGCACUCUGAGCUGUGCCCCCACAGCAUCAAUUAGUCUUUUAAUUAUCACUAGAACCAGCUAUAGGUAUCUUCUAGAACUAAGUAUGAGAAACAUACAUCUAUGUUUUGAGCGUUACCUUAUUACGAGAAACAUCUAAUGAAGUGUUAAAAGGUACAUGUGAGCAAAUGUAAUAUUAACAGAAGAGACACUUGGCAAUAACAGCACUGUCCUUUCAUAACCACAAAAGCCAAAUCUUCUCUUACAUUUCUCAGAAAAGGAGAGGGGAAUUAUGAUUUCUUAUGAUUAAAAUUUAACAGCUGGAAGUAAAAGGGCCGGUAAAGUCAUCAAUGUAUAUUACUCAUAACCCAGGAGAAAAGAUAAAAUUUUAUAUGAACUAUAACCUUCAGGUGUUUGACUCUUAUCAGGGGCACUAAAGCAGUUUCCUGAGCAGCAUGGCUAAUGGAUUUUUUUCUGUCACAGAUCACGUCCCACAUCUGAGCACAACAUCUACCUAAAAUUUUUCAAAUGAUAAGGCAUGCAUAACAACAGUAUCCCAUUGAGAUUCACUUGUGGCUAACAAGAUUAAGUGUCAUGUGUAGCUUUUUCCUCACUCCAUUUUACAGACCAGGUGACUCUCUUUCCUGAUAUUUGCAUAAGCACUUAAAAAAAGCAUGUAAAGCUUAUAUUAUCUUCCAUAUCUACCAAAUAUGUAGGAAAAGAAGCAGCCCUGAACAUCACUGAUGAUUCAAAGCACUGUAUCUAUUUAAACUUAUCAGGUCUGGUUAUAUCAUAAGUAGAUCUCUAAGCAACCACUUAUUUUCAAAGCUUCCCUUUUUUUGAUCUUUAUCUUGGAAUGAACAAAUAGGGAGUUAAAAAAAAAAAAAACAGAUUUCAAAACUGUUUGUAUAAAAUUCCAAAUAAACUUCCAAAUUUUUCUGCAGUGUGUAAGGAUAAAAUCUGUUAAAAAUUGACAACAAAGUUAUUAGGAAUUCUAAUGAAGAAGAAUGGAGCAGUGAAAUACUGCUGCUAACACUGUGUUCACAUCACAUUCAUUAAUGGGGCAAAUUAUUAUGUUCAAUGAUCUCAGUUAAUGUUCCUGGAUGCAAGCCAAAAAAUCCACCAACAGCAACAAAAACCAACCAAAGCAAAGAACCAAAACAAACAAACAAAUAAAAAACCCAGAUACUGCAGUAGAAAAUGGAAUUUUCCACCUCUCCAUUUUUGAGUCCUGGUCAAAAGUUGUUCCUCAUGGCAGUUUUCUGAAUUAAUAAAAUGACAAACAUAAGUGAGGAAGAGCUUAGGACACAUCUAUGAAAGAGAAUUGUUAUUAGGUGUGAUUUCCAAUACCUGCAACAGCAGCUACAGUAAUGGAGUCUAGCAGGUAUUCUGAUGCUGAACAGAAUACUGACUGCAUUUAUGUCUCCUUUAUGAAAUACUGAACAUCUGAAAGACAUAACAUUCUCACAAGCUCAUAAACGCUUUAUUCCGCUUAAUAAAUUACAAUGUUUCACUCUUUACUCCUUCCUUUGCCCUAACAGAGAAAUGACUUUAGAAGAAUACAUUCUCUUGCCCUGGAAUAGGCAUAGCCCAAGAGAGGCUGAUAUGUAGAAAUGUAGCAUCUUUUUUUUCCCCAUAUUUUGAUCAUGCAUAAGUGCAUCCCAUUAGGCUGCAGUGUUAAAAUUGCCUCCUGCAGUGCGGGGCAGAAGCUAAUAAUUUGUCUUCUGAUGACUCAUUUACAAAGGUAAAAUGAAAGGGAAUUGGAUGCAAUUGCCAAUUGCAAUGCCAAAACCAGAAAUAUUGUUUUGAUUUUAAUUAUUAUUAUUUUUCAAAAUGGGCAUACUGCAAAACAGUAAUGCUAUUUAAUAUACAAGCUAUCAAUUAUGGAUUAUUUUCCUACAGCACUUGAUAACUCUUCGGGAAAACUUCAUUUAUUCAUUCUGGUUCACCUUAACUCUUAAGUACUCAAUAAUAAUAAUAAUAAGUCAUUAGGAGGUAGAACAAGGAAAUAUUAGUGAAAGUAUAUAGAAAGUAAAAAGGAACUCUGACAAAGUUUGCUAGAAGUUUAGGUGAAGUUUAAAGAAAUUGAAGUUUUCUCUAUAGCAAGCAGCUUUUAG